rnacentral:lncRNA from 1 species
AAUAUUAUUCAAAAUAAGUGGACCCCUCUUUUAGAAAAAGUUGUUUAAAAUAUGAUGUAACUCUCCUCUUUUUGAGUACAAAAUUCUGUUUUCAAAGGUUUUGUAUAGAAGAACUAUACAAAUCCUUGGUAUUUCUAUUUUCUUUUCUACAUCAGUAAAAUGACCCCUUGUCUGAGGGAGGUUUGUUCUCAACCUGACAAUAACAAACACAGGUCAAAGUACGGCCUUUUACACAGGGCUUUGAUACAGACCAAACAGCAAGCUAUAAAGGAUCCCAAAAUUAUUAGCGUACACAAUUCGAACAGGAAAACCAACGAUCUAAUUGAU